CGGAAGGAGGCGUGGUUUCAGUACGUCGAACCGCCCCGCGCAACCUUGACGUCCAGGGAACCUCCCUCCUUCCAGAGGACAAUUGGUAUUUAGGUUUCGCUGCUCUUCUUCCAACCUCUCGGGUGCGGAAUCUUACCUGAAACGUUUGCAAUAGAAGAGUAACCUAAGAAAGGAACUAUAAAAAGUAUUCACUACAGUAAAUGGAAGAUGAUAGAUGAUGUCCUCAAAAGGUGGAACCAUGAAGGAUCUAAAAGACUUGAGCUACUUUUGUUUGACUUUGAAGGUGAAUGAAGAAAAGAAUUGAAAACUAAAGGACAUUACUGCUCUUCCUGUAAGAGAGAGAAGAAGUGGCAGACUGCUCCUUGAACGGAAACAAAGAUCCGGGUUACUGGAUGUCAGACACACUAUUUGGAAUUGUUGGAGCAGCAGUUGUGUAACCUUCUAGAAAGAACCUCUGUGCCCCAGAAUCCACAGUGGGCGGUCCCAGAAACAGCACAAACAGCAGCAGGUGAAAUGACAAACUAGAGGCCUGAGUGCAUUGAUCUACAUAAUGAAGCAACUGGAACUCAGCUUCCCAGUGACCUGGGACAGGAGGAGUUUUUGAUUUUCUACUCCCCUCAGCUCUUCAAGGCCAGCCAAAAAAAAAUGGGUGGUAAAUCUGACACUGGGGUUCCUUCCUGUAAUCCCAACUCUGAGCAGACCCAGCUUGCAGAAUUACUGGAAAUUCAGGGCCAGUUUGGGUUACAAAAUCAGACUCAGUCUCAAAUCAAUCGAUCCUUCUUAAAAUCUGAUAAAAUGUGGAUUAUGUGAAAAACAGAGCAACAUAGUGUGUCAUUUAGCCAUUGUUUGAAUUUUAAAGUUUCAGUGUUUUACACAUUUUCUGUCGUAACACGAUAGAUUCUCUUUCAAGUUAUUACAUAACGAUUGCAAGAUUUUCCUCUGGAAAUUACCUCUAAGUUUGCCCUCCAUCCAAUUCUCCUGUCAGUCAUGCUUAAUACCAUCGUUAGGAUUUUCAGAAGGGAGAAGGCAUCGUUAAGAACUUUGAGAGGCUUGCAAGAUGGCUCAGCUGUGAAGAUACUGCCACCAACCUGACCCUAGGAUGGAUCCCCAGAACUCACUGGUGGAAGGAGAGGUCAAGUUUCUUUCUGACCUUCACAUGAGUGGUAGUACACAGCCACCCCUCCCUACUAAUAAGUAUAUACAUAUACAUGUGCAUACCU
ensembl:lncRNA